UGAACUGAAUGUUACAUCUUCCUGUGUCCCUCUUGUUUUCCGUGGAUUUGUUAAAAAGGCGCUUCUGUCACACACAGUUCAGGCAUUAAGUCCUUCCUGCUGCACUGCACCGCCAUCUGUUUCCCAACUCGCUCCCAGUGUCGACAUGUGUUGGAGUGUCACAAACGGUCGCUCCUGCAGUCACAAUGUCUCCCAGCUCCCCGCUCUGCGGAGGGAGACGCAUAGAAGACGUGACAAUAAGCUGUGGAUGUGAACUGGAUGAGUUGCUCUCAGUUGUCUGUGGCAACGUGACACCUGUUCAAAGAGAGACUACAUUUCAAAUCAUUCUCAGUAUCCUCAUGGCAUCAGGUGUUAAACCUAUAAGAAGACAUUUCAUGAACCCUUUCACCUCUCCUUCAUUUGCCAUCUCAAGAGAGCCUGAAACUUUGAUUCUAGUUCAGCUGAGUUCACAUCCCUCUACCUGUUUUCCUGCUGAAGGCAAUCCGGAGGCUCAUAAAUAAUCUGGAAAUCCUCCUCAGAGUUGUCUGUUUUGGUUUUUGGAUCAUCAUUUAGGUGAUGUUGAUUUUUGUUUUUCUCUAAGGACUCAAAUUCGCCUCUUGGGUGUUACAGGUGGACCAGUCCACUUGAAUAACUGGCCCUAAACGACUGGGAGGAAAUAGACUAACAGCCAAAUUCCACCAGAUUUGUGUCCAGUCCGUCUCCUAUCUGUCACGCCACCGCAUCUGAUAGGUUUCUAUUCUAGUCAAGGUGUU